rnacentral:rRNA from 1 species
ACAGGGUGACAGGUGGUGCAUGGUUGUCGUCAGCUCGUGUCGUGAGAUGUUGGGUUAAGCCCGCAACGAGCGCAACCCUCGACCUUAGCUGCCAGCAUUCAGUUGGGCACUCUAAGGUGACUGCCGGCUAAAAGUCGGAGGAAGGUGGGGAUGACGUCAAAUCAUCAUGCCCCUUAUGACCUGGGCUACACACGUGCUACAAUGGGCGGUACAAAGGGUCGCGAACCCGCGAGGGGGAGCCAAUCCCAAAAAGCCGCUCUCAGUUCGGAUUGCAGGCUGCAAUUCGCCUGCAUGAAGUCGGAAUCGCUAGUAAUCGCAGGUCAGCAUACUGCGGUGAAUACGUUCCCGGGCCUU